GCGGGUGUAGCUCAAUGGUAGAGUUCUGGCCUUCCAAGCCAGCUGUGAGGGUUCGAUCCCCUUCACCUGCUCCA
rnacentral:tRNA from 1 species